rnacentral:rRNA from 1 species
UACGUAGGGUGCAAGCGUUGUCCGGAAUUAUUGGGCGUAAAGAGCUCGUAGGCGGUUUGUCGCGUCUGCUGUGAAAACUCAGGGCUUAACCCUGGGCUUGCAGUGGGUACGGGCAGACUAGAGUGUGGUAGGGGAGACUGGAAUUCCUGGUGUAGCGGUGAAAUGCGCAGAUAUCAGGAGGAACACCGAUGGCGAAGGCAGGUCUCUGGGCCACUACUGACGCUGAGAAGCGAAAGCAUGGGGAGCGAACAGG